rnacentral:lncRNA from 1 species
UUUUCGCGCCUAUGCGCACCGAAACGCCCGAUUGCUCCAGAACUUCACCAAACUUCACCGGGACCAUUCAAACAGCUCUCCAACCAAAUGUACACCGUAACUUCAUGAUUUUAGAAGUCCGGUACCUUACAUUCACUUUUGGUAAAAUAAACAAACCCUUAAUGCAGUAUAACCAACAAUACUUUCGCAUAUUUCUAGAUGCCAUUUAGGGCCUGUUUGGUUCACGUUAUGUAAUAUCACAGGUUAUCUCAACAUAACUAUCUGAUAUUUGUUAUUCAUAUUGCUAUUAAUAUUGUUUUAUUUCAAGUAUGUAAUGUCGGAUUUCUACGUA